rnacentral:rRNA from 1 species
GGGUCAGUAGGUUGGUCGUGCCACCGGUACGUACUGGUCUCACUGAUUCCUCCUUCCUGAAGAACCGUAAUGCCAUUAAUUUCGUGUUGCGGGGAAACAGGACUGUUACUUUGAAAAAAUUAGAGUGUUUAAAGCAAGCUAACGCUUGAAUACAUUAGCAUGGAAUAAUGAAAUAGGACGAUCGAUCCUAUUAUGUUGGUUUCUAGGAUUGACGUA